AAUCAACGCUGGCGGCGUGCCUCAGACAUGCAAGUCGAACGAUUAAAGCUCUCUUCGGAGAGUGCAUAAAGUGGCGCACGGGUGAGUAACACGUAAGUAAUCUACCUUCGAGUGGGGAAUAACAUCGGGAAACCGAUGCUAAUACCGCAUAAUGCAGCGGCAUCGCAAGAUGACAGUUGUUAAAGAUUUAUCGCUUGAAGAGGAGCUUGCGGCAGAUUAGCUAGUUGGUAAGGUAAUGGCUUACCAAGGCUACGAUCUGUAACCGGUCUAAGAGGACGGUCGGUCACACUGACACUGAAUAACGGGUCAGACUCCUACGGGAGGCAGCAGUCGGGAAUUUUGGGCAAUGGGCGAAAGCCUGACCCAGCAACGCCGCGUGAAGGAUGAAGUAUUUCGGUAUGUAAACUUCGAAAGAAUAAGGAAGAAUAAAUGACGGUACUAUUUAUAAGGUCCGGCUAACUACGUGCCAGCAGCCG
rnacentral:rRNA from 1 species